AGAAUAAACACAUGCCUCUUCUCAGGUUUGGUGGCAAAACCCUCAUGGAACGGCAGGUGGGAAAAUGGGAAGACAGGUAUCAGGUCUCUGCUCUGUUGCUAAAGGUAAAUAUUCAGAGAAAAACCGGCGUCGGCUACAGCUGUCUUCAGGGAUCUGUGGACCUUCCAGAUAAGAGAGACUUUUCAUCUGCUUCUGCAAGGUACCUGGAGCAGUAGCGAUCUGGCAUUACCUCAAGCCAGUUUCCAUUGAGAUUAUUCAAAUACGGAAUAUUUAUCACCCAAGAUGUCCUCUGCCUAUCACACCAUCUUCUCUUGGUCUCCCAUCUGCCUAGCGAACUCGCACGUUAUCUUUCCAAGCUUAAAGUCAGCUUUAGUGACCUUCCUGGAAAGAAAGAACCACAGCUUCCCUUAAGUUACACCUUCCCAUCUAUAUAGCUCUCUCCCCAUACGCAUCACAGUGGGUCUUAAUUGUUGUUCACGUGUCCCUUUCCCUUAAAAGAGUGAGUGGUGUUUGCCCGGAGGCAUCUUAUCACUAUGAUAUCUAUUUCGAGCAGCCAGCACACAGUAGGUGCUCAAGAAAACACGAG
ensembl:lncRNA